rnacentral:rRNA from 1 species
UACGUAGGGUGCAAGCGUUGUCCGGAAUUAUUGGGCGUAAAGAGCUCGUAGGCGGUUUGUCGCGUCUGCCGUGAAAGUCCGGGGGCUCAACUCCGGAUCUGCGGUGGGUACGGGCAGACUAGAGUGAUGUAGGGGGAGACUGGAAUUCCUGGUGUAGCGGUGAAAUGCGCAGAUAUCAGGAGGAACACCGAUGGCGAAGGCAGGUCUCUGGGCAUUAACUGACGCUGAGGAGCGAAAGCAUGGGGAGCGAACAGG